UAGCUGAAAUCAGAAUCUGGCCUCCUAUAUUCUUUUUAGUCACAGAAUAGGCACAGUACAGGUAAUAAUAUUACAUGUUUCCAUCACUGCCCCUCCAAAGUGCUGUCAAUCCUUCCAUGAAGGGAUCACAACUAAGUGAGAGAGAGUAGUUCAGUCUCCAUGCUCAAACAUCUCUGGGCCUCG
rnacentral:sRNA from 1 species